rnacentral:rRNA from 1 species
UAGGGAAUAUUGCACAAUGGGCGAAAGCCUGAUGCAGCAACGCCGCGUGUGUGAUGAAGGCCUUCGGGUCGUAAAGCACUUUUCUGGGAGAUGAGAAAGGACAGUAUCCCAGGAAUAAGUCUCGGCUAACUACGUGCCAGCAGCCGCGGUAAAACGUAGGAGGCGAGCGUUAUCCGGAUUCACUGGGCGUAAAGCGCGUGCAGGUGGCGCGGUAAGUUGGGUGUGAAAUCUCCCGGCUCAACUGGGAGAGGUCAUUCAAUACUACCGUGCUUGAGAGCAGAAGAGGAAGAUGGAAUUCCCGGUGUAGUGGUGAAAUGCGUAGAUAUCGGGAGGAACACCAGUGGCGAAGGCGAUCUUCUGGUCUGUUUCUGACACUCAGACGCGACAGCUAGGGUAGUAAACGGGAUUAGAGACCCGGUAAUCCUAGCCGUAAACGAUGUGAACUUGGCGUUGGUGGUUAAACUCCGAAUCAGUGCCGUAGCAAACGCGAA